AUUGAGCGCUGGCGGCAGGCUUAACACAUGCAAGUCGAGCGGAGAUGAGGUGCUUGCACCUUAUCUUAGCGGCGGACGGGUGAGUAAUGCUUAGGAAUCUGCCUAUUAGUGGGGGACAACAUUCCGAAAGGAAUGCUAAUACCGCAUACGUCCUACGGGAGAAAGCAGGGGAUCUUCGGACCUUGCGCUAAUAGAUGAGCCUAAGUCGGAGUAGCUAGUUGGGGGGGUGAAGGCCUACCAAGGCGACGAUCUGUAGCGGGUCUGAGAGGAUGAUCCGCCACACGGGGACUGAGACACGGCCCAGACUCCUACGGGAGGCAGCAGUGGGGAAUAUUGGACAAUGGGGGGAACCCUGAUCCAGCCAUGCCGCGUGUGUGAAGAAGGCCUUAUGGUUGUAAAGCACUUUAAGCGAGGAGGAGGCUACUGAGACUAAUACUCUUGGAUAGUGAACGUUACUCGCAGAAUAAGCACCGGCUAACUCUGUGCCAGCCGCCGCGGUAAAAC
rnacentral:rRNA from 1 species